AUAUAGACCUCCUUGGUAUUUGCGUAUCCUCUCAUCUAUAUCGCCAGUGGCUCCGUGGCCUUCAAAUCAAUUCUCAAAUUUUGUAUAUAUAUAUACUAAGAUUAAGAUUUGACUAUUGUUAUAACCAUUGGUGUUUCUCCAGAAUUUGUACAGCAACAUGCCCACUAACUCAUUGGUAAGCUGGCACUUCGUUUUCGCUCUAAAUUUGAUUUGCUGAGUUCUAAAGCCUUUUGGAUCAUGAUGUUAUUGUUAUGGUUGUUUUACUUCUUUUGCGGGUUCGAUCUCUCAUCGAAGUUUGGGUCUAUUCUCUUUGCUCUUCCUCUUCUAACUAAAAAAACAUAACGUUACCAUCGACUAGGGUUUUUGGUGAUUUUUCGUUUUUCUCAUGAUUAAGAUUGGUUUUGAGGUUUUUCCCUUUUCAAUUAGGAUUUCUAGUAAUGAUAUAUUGUAAGGCUUUAAGUUGGAUUGUUCCUUGUCUGUAUAUAAAGUCCCUUUAUGAUCAAUAAGAAAUCAAACAAUUAACCCUAACUCUCUCUAAGAGCGA